GAAGAAAGAUCGUUUUUAGAUCAUC
rnacentral:sRNA from 1 species